GUGCCAGCAGCCGCGGUAAUACGUAGGUGGCAAGCGUUGUCCGGAUUUACUGGGCGUAAAGGAUGUGUAGGCGGAUAUUUAAGUGAGAUGUGAAAUCCCCGGGCUUAACUUGGGGGCUGCAUUUCAAACUGGUUGUCUAGAGUGCAGGAGAGGAAAGCAGAAUUCCUAGUGUAGCGGUGAAUUGCGGAGAGACUAGGAAGAAGACCAGUGGCGAAGGCGGCUUUCUGUACU
rnacentral:rRNA from 1 species